UUCUGGUGUAUUGUUAGGUAUCUACUGAUGUGUUCUGGUGUAUUGUUAGGUAUCUACUGAUGUGUUCUGGUGUAUUGUUAGGUAUCUACUGAUCUGUUCUGGUGUAUUGUUAGGUAUCUACUACUGAUGUGUUCUGGUGUAUUGUUAGGUAUCUACUGAUCUGUUCUGGUGUAUUGUUAGGUAUCUACUGAUGUGUUCUGGUGUAUUGUUAGGUAUCUACUGAUCUGUUCUGGUGUAUUGUUAGGUAUCUACUGAUGUGUUCUGGUGUAUUGUUAGGUA